rnacentral:ncRNA from 1 species
UGCGAUGAGUCGAGUAACCACGCACUAUGUGGUGAAAGUUGCAGCUGGCAGGCAUGAAUCACCACCCGACGGAUUUCGGGGCCAGUGGAUAAGCGGUUGUGGAGCCA